rnacentral:rRNA from 1 species
GCUCAACCGAGGAAGUGCUUCGAAAACUGGUAAACUUGAGUGCAGAGGAGGAAAGUGGAACUCCAUGUGUAGCGGUGGAAUGCGUAGAUAUAUGGAAGAACACCAGUGGCGAAGGCGGCUUUCUGGUCUGUAACUGACGCUGAGAUUCGAAAGCAUGGGUAGCAAACAGGAUUAGAUACCCUGGUAGUCCAUGCCGUAGACGAUGAGUGCUAAGUGUUGGAGGGUUUCCGCCCUUCAGUGCUGCAGCUAACGCAUUAAGCACUCCGCCUGGGGAGUACGACCGCAAGGUUGAAACUCAAAGGAAUUGACGGGGGCCCGCACAAGCGGUGGAGCAUGUGGUUUAAUUCGAAGCAACGCGAAGAACCUUACCAGGUCUUGACAUACCAUGAAAAGCUUAGAGAUAAGUCUUUCCCUUCGGGGACAUGGAUACAGGUGGUGCAUGGUUGUCGUCAGCUCGUGUCGUGAGAUGUUGGGUUAAGUCCCGCAACGAGCGCAACCCUUAUUAUCAGUUGCCAGCAUUCAGUUGGGCACUCUGGUGAGACUGCCGGUGACAAACCGGAGGAAGGUGGGGACGACGUCAAAUCAUCAUGCCCCUUAUGACCUGGGCUACACACGUGCUACAAUGGUCGGUACAACG